CUGGCCUACGGGGGGCAGCAGUGGGGGAUAUUGCACAAUGGGGGAAACCCUGAUGCAGCGACGCCGCGUGUAGGAAGACGGUCCUCUGGAUUGUAAACUACUGUCCCCAGGGACGAAGAUGACGGUACCUGGGGAGGAAGCUCCGGCUAACUACGUGCCAGCAGCCGCGGCAAUACGUAGGGAGCGAGCGUUGUCCGGAAUUACUGGGUGUAAAGGGAGCGUAGGCGGGGAGUUAAGUCAGCGGUAAAAUUUCGGGGCUCAACCCCGACGAGCCGUUGAAACUGGCUUGCUAGAGUGGGCGAGAG
rnacentral:rRNA from 1 species